AACGCACAUUGCGCCCCUUGGUAUUCCAUUGGGCAUGCCUGUUCGAGCGUCAUCCGAACCCUCAAGCUACGCUUGGUGUUGGGCGUUUUGCCCGCGCGCGCGCGCGGGCUCGCCCCAAAUGCAUUGGCAGUUGCCACGCCAGCCCCCCCACGCAGCAGUUUGCGCUCCGGAGGGGCUUCCGGCGGGCUCUCCCACCAAGACCGACCGCAUUUGACCUCGAAUCAGGUAGGGAUACCCGCUGAACUUAA
rnacentral:misc_RNA from 1 species